rnacentral:misc_RNA from 1 species
CCCUUUCCGUCGUCCUUUCGUGGAUGGUGGUGGGGUACCGCCCGUAUAUUGAGAACUACACAGUGGACGCGAGCAUCUUAGAUUCACCGGUUUUCCGGUGGAUCACAAAGAUCUAUUUAUAGAUCAUUGGUCAAUUCUGUCUCCUCUAGGGGAGGCGAAACGAUUCAAUCUCAUGUGAUUUCAAGAUUCUAAGAGCAAACGGUGGAUGCCUUGGCAUCUGGAGCCGAAGAAGGACGUAUAAAUCUGCGAUAAGCCUCGGGGAGCUGAUAAUAGAGCUGUGAUCCGAGGAUCUCCGAAUGGGGAAACCCCGCCAGGCCCUUUGGGUGACCUGGUGACUCCCGCCUGAAUAUAUAGGGCGGGUAGAGGGAACGUGGGGAAGUGAAACAUCUCAGUA